UACAGAGGUCUCAAGCGUUGUUCGGAUUCAUUGGGCGUAAAGGGUGCGUAGGCGGCGCGGUAAGUCGGGUGUGAAAUCCUGGAGCUCAACUCCAGAACUGCCUUUGAUACUGGCGAUCUCGAGUCCGGGAGAGGUGAGUGGAACUGCGAGUGUAGAGGUGAAAUUCGUAGAUAUUCGCAAGAACACCAGUGGCGAAGGCGGCUCACUGGCCCGAUACUGACGCUGAGGCACGAAAGCGUGGGGAGCAAACAGG
rnacentral:rRNA from 1 species